rnacentral:misc_RNA from 1 species
GACGCACAUUGCACUAGAAGUAUUCCUUUUAGUAUGCUUGUCUGAGUGUCCUUUUCUUUAUUUCGAUCUUAUGAUUCUUUAUAUUUUCAAAUCAUUUGAUGUUGAUAUUCAUAUUUCUUUAUGAUUAUUCAAAAUUAUUAUCAAUUCGUUAAUAUCGUUUUUAUUCUUGUUGAAUCAAUCUCUAUUUAUCUUCUUUAUUUCUGAUAUUAUCGAUUAUCAAAAAGAUUACUAUAUUAUAACUACAAAGACCUCAGAUCAAGUAGCAUUACCCGCUGAAUUUAA